UCAACCCAGACUUUUAGACUCAUCAAUUGUCAACAUAAACUAUCAAUUGCAUCGAUUUUCAACAAUUUUAGAAAAUUAAACUAAAUCACGUUUAGCGACCCAAAUCGCGAUUACUUAAAACUGAUUGCCCAACACCCAACCCGAUUACUACUGAACCUGACUCUAAUAAUAUAACCCGACAAAAAAAUAACCUGACAUCUCCAUCUACCGUUGUCUUCUUCUCCCUUUAUGAAAUUAGGGUUCAUAGUGAGAUUUAGGGGAAAAUUGAAAUCGUGACAAUGGAGAAGAAUAAGAGUCAAUCCGAACUUGCGAAAUCUGAAGGUUUAUUCUCAAGGCGAACCAGGAGAAUUAAUUUCGGAGAUUCUAUCGCUCAUGUGAAGUUGUGAUGCUGAGAAAGGGGGAAGAUCAUCUCUUAAAGUGGGUUAAAAAAGCUUUGGUUGAAGAGAUUUCUUUGGUUGAAGCAAGACAGAACAAUUGAAGAAGAUAUUAAAGAUAUGAGGAAGACAGAGAAAAGUGAAGAAGAUGUGGGUUGACAGUACAAUGUUGUCUAAAAUUUCAUUACAUGGCUUUGUUGUAAACUUUGGUAACUGUCAAUGGUUGUAGACAAUUCUGCGUUGUGUUGUUUUGAUUACCUUUAGUGUACAAGUGUAAACGGUUUGUGUUGUUUUAAUAACCUUUUUUAUCUCAUUUGUUUUGU